rnacentral:tRNA from 1 species
GGGCGGGUAGCUCAGCCUGGUGGAGCGCCAGUCUUAUAAAAUGACGAUAGUCAUUUUUCAUGACUGCGUUCUGUAGAAACUGGUGGUCGAGAGAGGCCUUUUAGGGAUAGAGGUCCUCGAAUUCAAAUCUCUCCCCGCCCA